rnacentral:rRNA from 2 species
GAGUGGGUGUAUAUCGUGUGUGAGUAAUCUAAGGCCGCGUGAGUGAUGAAGGCUUUCGGGUCGUAAAACUCUGUUGUUAGGGAAGAACAAGUGCUAGUUGAAUAAGCUGGCACCUUGACGGUACCUAACCAGAAAGCCACGGCUAACUACGUGCCAGCAGCCGCGGUAAUACGUAGGUGGCAAGCGUUAUCCGGAAUUAUUGGGCGUAAAGCGCGCGCAGGUGGUUUCUUAAGUCUGAUGUGAAAGCCCACGGCUCAACCGUGGAGGGUCAUUGGAAACUGGGAGACUUGAGUGCAGAAGAGGAAAGUGGAAUUCCAUGUGUAGCGGUGAAAUGCGUAGAGAUAUGGAGGAACACCAGUGGCGAAGGCGACUUUCUGGUCUGUAACUGACACUGAGGCGCGAAAGCGUGGGGAGCAAACAGGAUUAGAUACCCUGAAUAGUCCCA